AGUGAACGCUGGCGGUAGGCCUAACACAUGCAAGUCGAACGGCAGCACAGUAAGAGCUUGCCCUUACGGGUGGCGAGUGGCGGACGGGUGAGGAAUACAUCGGAAUCUACUUUUUCGUGGGGGAUAACGUAGGGAAACUUACGCUAAUACCGCAUAUGACCUACGGGUGAAAGCAGGAGAUCUUCGGACCUUGCGCGAUUGAAUGAGACGAUGUCGGAUUAGCUAGUUGGCUGGGUAAAGGCCCACCAAGGCAACGAUGCGUAGCUGGUCUGAGAGGAUGAUCAGCCACACUGGAACUGAGACACGGUCCAGACUCCUACGGGAGGCAGCAGUGGGGAAUAUUGGACAAUGGGCGCAAGCCUGAUCCAGCCAUACCGCGUGGGUGAAGAAGGUCUUCGGGUUGUAAAGCCCUUUUGUUGGGAAAGAAAAGCAGCAGGUUAAUACCCCGCUGUUCUGACGGUACCCAAAGAAUAAGCACCGGCUAACUUCGUG
rnacentral:rRNA from 1 species